rnacentral:rRNA from 1 species
CGGAUCGUAAAACUCUGUUGCUAGGGAAGAACAAGUACCGUUCGAAUAGGGCGGUACCUUGACGGUACCUAACCAGAAAGCCACGGCUAACUACGUGCCAGCAGCCGCGGUAAUACGUAGGUGGCAAGCGUUGUCCGGAAUUAUUGGGCGUAAAGCGCGCGCAGGCGGUUUCUUAAGUCUGAUGUGAAAGCCCCCGGCUCAACCGGGGAGGGUCAUUGGAAACUGGGGAACUUGAGUGCAGAAGAGGAGAGUGGAAUUCCACGUGUAGCGGUGAAAUGCGUAGAGAUGUGGAGGAACNCCAGUGGCGAAGGCGACUCUCUGGUCUGUAACUGACGCUGAGGCGCGAAAGCGUGGGGAGCGAACAGGAUUAGAUACCCUGGUAGUCCACGCCGUAAACGAUGAGUGCUAAGUGUUAGAGGG